GAUGAAGAACGUAGCGAAAUGCGAUAAGUAAUGUGAAUUGCAGAAUUCAGUGAAUCAUCGAGUCUUUGAACGCACAUUGCGCCCCCUGGUAUUCCGGGGGGCAUGCCUGUCCGAGCGUCAUUGCUGCCCUCAAGCACGGCUUGUGUGUUGGGCCUCCGUCCUCCUCCCGGGGGACGGGCCCGAAAGGCAGCGGCGGCACCGCGUCCGGUCCUCGAGCGUAUGGGGCUUCGUCACCCGCUCUUGUAGGCCCGGCCGGCGCUUGCCGACACAUCAAUCUUUUUUCCAGGUUGACCUCGGAUCAGGUAGGGAUACCCGCUGAACUUAAGCAUAUCAAUAAGCGAGGA
rnacentral:misc_RNA from 1 species